rnacentral:misc_RNA from 1 species
GAUGAAGAACGUAGCGAAAUGCGAUAAGUAAUGUGAAUUGCAGAAUUCAGUGAAUCAUCGAAUCUUUGAACGCACAUUGCGCCCGCCGGUAUUCCGGCGGGCAUGCCUGUUCGAGCGUCAUUUCAACCAUCAAGCCCUGGGCUUGUGUUGGGGACCUGCGGCUGCCGCAGGCCCUGAAAUGCAGUGGCGGGCUCGCAAGACACACCGAGCGUAGUAGCUUACAACCUCGCUUUGGGAGUGCUGCGGGUGCUGGCCGUAAAGCGACCUUUGCGUCUUUAGCACUAGGUUGGCCUCGGAUCAGGUAGGAGGACCCGCUGAACUUAAGCAUAUCAAUAAGCGGAGGA